rnacentral:rRNA from 1 species
UACAGAGGGGGCAAGCGUUGUUCGGAAUUACUGGGCGUAAAGGGCGCGUAGGCGGCCUUCUAAGUCGAACGUGAAAUCCCCGGGCUCAACCCGGGAACUGCGUCCGAUACUGGAAGGCUUGAAUCCGGGAGAGGGAUGCGGAAUUCCAGGUGUAGCGGUGAAAUGCGUAGAUAUCUGGAGGAACACCGGUGGCGAAGGCGGCAUCCUGGACCGGCAUUGACGCUGAGGCACGAAAGCCAGGGGAGCAAACGGG